rnacentral:piRNA from 1 species
UAUUGAUGUUCCUUCUAUUGAGCUGUAAAC